CAGAUGGGGAAAAACAAGACUAUAAAAGGGAAGCUGGAUUCCAAAAUGACACUCAGAGACACUUCCAUUUUUCAGUGUGGGGAAUGGUGGCCCCUGCUUUGCCCAUCUACCAGCUAUUAGGGGAUGCCGUUAAUCGGGUGCGUCCAACUGGGACUUGAACCAAUGGUGGAAUGUAGACCCUCUUUCUAGUUGUGAUGCAGUUGUGGCUGGUUGCGCUCUGAAGUGCAUCUAGAAGGGAUAUAUGCAACAUGGACCUCACUUGCUUCAGGGGAAAUCUUUGCUUCUGUGUCCACUCUGUCCACCCUGCAGCAGAUUGCAGUAUCAUUAUUAUCCCAGUUUCACCUAUGAGAAAACCAAGGCUACACUGCCAAGGCCUGCCGUGUGCUCUGUUCUGCACCAGAUGCCGUGAAUGCAAAGGUGCGUGAGAUUCAGCCCCCGUGUCAAUCAUUCCCGUGGCAAUUUCCUGCCUCUAAG